AACGAACGCUGGCGGCAUGCCUAACACAUGCAAGUCGAACGAGACCUUCGGGUCUAGUGGCGCACGGGUGCGUAACGCGUGGGAACCUGCCCUUAGGUUCGGAAUAACUCCCCGAAAGGGGUGCUAAUACUGGAUAAUGUCUUCGGACCAAAGAUUUAUCGCCUUUGGAUGGGCCCGCGUUGGAUUAGCUAGUUGGUAGGGUAAAAGCCUACCAAGGCGACGAUCCAUAGCUGGUCUGAGAGGAUGAUCAGCCACACUGGGACUGAGACAUGGCCCAGACUCCUACGGGAGGCAGCAGUGGGGAAUAUUGGACAAUGGGCGAAAGCCUGAUCCAGCAAUGCCGCGUGAGUGAUGAAGGCCUUAGGGUUGUAAAGCUCUUUUACCCGGGAUGAUAAUGACAGUACCGGGAGAAUAAGCUCCGGCUAACUCCGUG
rnacentral:rRNA from 1 species